AAAAACUAGUGUGUGGCAUCAUUAUAGUGAAGUUCAAGUCAUUGAAGGAAGGAAGAAAGUUGGUAGAUGUAAGUAUUGCAGGCAGGAGUAUGCUAGCAAUGCGGCAAGAAUGAAGAAACAUUUAAUAACAUGUAGAAACUGUCCUGAAAGAGUACAAGCCAUAUACAGAAAACUAAUACCACAAAGUGGUAGAACAACAUAAUCUGAGAAAAGUCUACUUCAGGAAAUUGUAUGAAUUUGGUAGCUCAAGUGAGAUAGCAGAUUUUCAAAAAAUGGGAAAUGAAAAUGUUGAGCUGCCAGGUCUGGGGGAA